CUAACGUCCAGCCAUGACUUUGACCGUAUUGCGUAGCCAGCCAAGCAUUAUUACCGCCAUUCCUUAUCUGGCGGGCUAGCUGACGACUGCACCCAACCCGCCCUCGAGGCGGGUUUU
rnacentral:sRNA from 1 species